CAAAUGGGCCAAUUGAAAUAGGUUCUUGGAUUUUUUGGGGAAGCAAUGGCUUUCUUUUGUUGGGAAUUGGAGAAACUUUGAAUUUGUUGCAGAGAAUUUUUAGCUGAGUUUGGGGAUGAGUUCUGAUGUGGGUAGCGGANUUGUGAAGUUGGUUUAUUUGGAUAAGGAAGAUAUUCAGGAGAACAAAACUUGCACGAAAUGGCGACUCCCGUUGAGCCCCCAAAUGGAGUUAGAAUUCAGGGGAAGCA
rnacentral:misc_RNA from 1 species